UGGGGAAUUUUGGACAAUGGGCGCAAGCCUGAUCCAGCCAUGCCGCGUGCAGGAUGAAGGCCUUCCGGUUGUAACCUGCAUUGGUACCCAAACGAAAAGACUCUGGUUAAUACCUGGGGUCCAUGACGGUACCGUAAGAAUAAGCACCGGCUAACUACGUG
rnacentral:rRNA from 1 species